rnacentral:rRNA from 1 species
UGGCUCAGAUUGAACGCUGGCGGCAGGCCUAACACAUGCAAGUCGAGCGGCAGCGGGAAAGUAGCUUGCUUACUUUGCCGGCGAGCGGCGGACGGGUGAGUAAUGUCUGGGAAACUGCCUGAUGGAGGGGGGAUAACUACUGGAAACGGUAGCUAAUACCGCAUGACCUCGCAAGAGCAAAGUGGGGGACCUUCGGGCCUCACGCCAUCGGAUGUGCCCAGAUGGGAUUAGCUAGUAGGUGAGGUAAUGGCUCACCUAGGCGACGAUCCCUAGCUGGUCUGAGAGGAUGACCAGCCACACUGGAACUGAGACACGGUCCAGACUCCUACGGGAGGCAGCAGUGGGGAAUAUUGCACAAUGGGCGCAAGCCUGAUGCCAGCCAUGCCGCGUGUGUGAAGAAGGCCUUAGGGUUGUAAAGCACUUUCAGCGAGGAGGAAGGGUUCAGUGUUAAUAGCACUGAACAUUGACGUUACUCGCAGAAGAAGCACCGGA